UGACAGCACAGUGUUUAUUCCUCUUCCCUCUCAGGUGCUCACGUCUGAGGUGACUGACUGGCGUAAGAAUGUGGAGGCCAUGUCUGGCAUGGAGGGCCGCAAGAAGAUGUUCGACGCAUCUGGCGGCCAGUAAGCCAUGCUACAGCCUUGGGACGGGAACGACGCACAGGACAUGGUCCAGAGAGGAGGAAGAGGAGGAGGAGCUGUGUAGUCCCUGAAAGUGCCCCGCCACACACCCUACAGUACAAAGGCAGCACAAAGGCAGCAUGGGGUUAAAUUGUGAGGAGUCCAGUGCUGAGCAGUCCAUUAGAUGGAUUUGUAGUUUUGUAAAACAGGUUGUAGUUCUCUGCUGGAGUGGAAGGGUUUCUAUAAGAGUUUUACAGAGCCUGCGAUUUCUUUCAGGUACUACUUACCAAAUAUUUUACAACCCAGUAUAAACUCGUUUUGGAACCCAACCCAAUAUAUGAGAUGUAUGAGAUAAGAUACUAACAAGACUAGCGAAGUCCCCACCCCUUAAACGGAAACUCUCAGCUAAAGCACCAUCUUCACCCAAUCCUGAUACGUCCAAAUAACCAGUGACGGAAAAGCACCAAAACUACUGCUCCUCGUUAGUCGUCACAUCCUACCAACUUUUGACAGACGAUAACAUUUAUGUUCCAUGAUCUGUCCACGAGAGAUUAGGAAUUGCUGCGUUUAUAAAGCACGUGAAGAUGUGAACUACCUAAACACGAUGAAGUUCCAUAAAAGUUAAGUGAAUGAUUGGAGUAAUGUAGAAUAGUGAAGUCAUCAUAGUCCUCCACUGAGUCAAACCUUUAGGCUGAUAGUCUUACAGAAAUAGGAAAGGCUUGAGGCUGAUGAACGUUUACAGUUGUCAAUAUCAUGAUGAUUUCCAAACUAAUUAAGCAACAUGUUGCUCUCUCGGACUCGGACUCCCUCAGUGCUGAUGUCAAUGGUAAAGCAGCAUGAUUUAACCCCUCGCUGACAUCCUCUCACAUGAUCUCUCCACCCUGUCGUUGACGACUUAGCCAAUCACGCUUCUUCAAAAGCUGUGUGUGGUGCAUAUCUCACUAUUGCUAUUUAUUAUGGAAGAUUAGAUGUACGUGUCUUUUAUUUAUGCCAUUAUAAAACAUGAAUCACCAAAGGAUGUC